rnacentral:rRNA from 1 species
UUGAACGCUGGCGGCAGGCCUAACACAUGCAAGUCGAGCGGUAGCACAGAGAGCUUGCUCUCGGGUGACGAGCGGCGGACGGGUGAGUAAUGUCUGGGAAACUGCCUGAUGGAGGGGGAUAACUACUGGAAACGGUGGCUAAUACCGCAUAAUGUCGCAAGACCAAAGUGGGGGACCUUCGGGCCUCAUGCCAUCAGAUGUGCCCAGAUGGGAUUAGCUAGUAGGUGGGGUAACGGCUCACCUAGGCGACGAUCCCUAGCUGGUCUGAGAGGAUGACCAGCCACACUGGAACUGAGACACGGUCCAGACUCCUACGGGAGGCAGCAGUGGGGAAUAUUGCACAAUGGGCGCAAGCCUGAUGCAGCCAUGCCGCGUGUGUGAAGAAGGCCUUCGGGUUGUAAAGCACUUUCAGCGGGGAGGAAGGCGUUAAGGUUAAUAACCUUGGCGAUUGACGUUACCCGCAGAAGAAGCACCGGCUAACUCCGUGCCAGCAGCCGCGGUAAUACGGAGGGUGCAAGCGUUAAUCGGAAUUACUGGGCGUAAAGCGCACGCAGGCGGUCUGUCAAGUCGGAUGUGAAAUCCCCGGGCUCAACCUGGGAACUGCAUUCGAAACUGGCAGGCUAGAGUCUUGUAGAGGGGGGUAGAAUUCCAGGUGUAGCGGUGAAAUGCGUAGAGAUCUGGAGGAAUACCGGUGGCGAAGGCGGCCCCCUGGACAAAGACUGACGCUCAGGUGCGAAAGCGUGGGGAGCAAACAGGAUUAGAUACCCUGGUAGUCCACGCCGUAAACGAUGUCGAUUUGGAGGUUGUGCCCUUGAGGCGUGGCUUCCGGAGCUAACGCGUUAAAUCGACCGCCUGGGGAGUACGGCCGCAAGGUUAAAACUCAAAUGAAUUGACGGGGGCCCGCACAAGCAGUGGAGUAUGUGGUUUAAUUCGAAGCAACGCGAAGAACCUUACCAGGUCUUGACAUCGUAUGCAUAGCUCAGAGAUGAGUGAAAUCUCUUCGGAGACAUAUAGACAGGUGGUGCAUGGUUGUCGUCAGCUCGUGUCGUGAGAUGUUGGGUUAAGUCCCGCAACGAGCGCAACCCUUAUCCUUUGUUGCCAGCGGUCCGGCCGGGAACUCAAAGGAGACUGCCAGUGAUAAACUGGAGGAAGGUGGGGAUGACGUCAAGUCAUCAUGGCCCUUACGACCAGGGCUACACACGUGCUACAAUGGCAUAUACAAAGAGAAGCGACCUCGCGAGAGCAAGCGGACCUCAUAAAGUAUGUCGUAGUCCGGAUUGGAGUCUGCAACUCGACUCCAUGAAGUCGGAAUCGCUAGUAAUCGUAGAUCAGAAUGCUACGGUGAAUACGUUCCCGGGCCUUGUACACACCGCCCGUCACACCAUGGGAGUGGGUUGCAAAAGAAGUAGGUAGCUUAACCUUCGGGAGGGCGCUUACCACUUUGUGAUUCAUGACUGGGGUG